CUUCAUCAUCACUAGACUCAUGUUUUCUAACCUUUCUCAUUCCGUUAUGAAUCAUAGGUUGAAAGAUGGUAUGAUCUGUAGGGUCUCUUGGCAUUAAAACAUUGAUUAAAAGGUGUUUGCCUCUAUUUGCUUCAGAUUGUCUUUUUAAUGUUUGGAAAUAUUUGGCUUGACUCUGUAUGAAAAAAAAGUCAAGUUUCAAUCAAGUGAAUAUAUUGGAAAUUUAUAGCUUCCAAGUUUCUUUUUAAAGAUGGUUUUAAUCGAUAUAUAUUUGGAAGCUAUAUAUUCCUCUAAUUCACUUAAUUGAAACUUAAUUUUUUUUUCCAAAACAAAGUCAAGCCAAAUAUUCCAAACAUUGAAGCAACAAUCUGAAGAAAAUAGCGGCAUACGCCCUUUAGUUAGCCAAUGUUAAAAUGUCAAGAGACCAUGCAGAUUAGAUCCAACUUUCAAGCUAUUUUUUUUUAAGGAAUGUAAAAGGUUAAAAGACAUGAGUCUAGUGAUGA